UUUAUCACUCAAUCAAUAAUUAAGGAGCACGCUUUACGAUUAUACACAACUUCAAUACAACCGUGCAAUGCAACAUGGUAUUACACAACAUAAAACAAAUAAAGUAUAUUGUACACAUUUUAAUAACACCAAUUUUCAACCAAAAUUUAUUUUUUCCUUUAAACAGAAAUUAAACUUUUUUUUUUUUAACUUUUCAGUGACACAACUGGUACACAUUUUACUGAAAUGAAUUGACUUUUAUUAAAGUUUUUCACAGUGAAUGUUUAUUGUCAUUGAAUCACCAAGGUCUAAAGAAAACAGAAUGCAAGCCAGAAAACGGCGUCGGGAAGAGCAGUAACCACAUGUGAGAGGACGCCGUUUGGAUCACAGUGCAAAUAUUGCAGGGAGACCAGCUACUAUUUGAAGGGGGAGAUGACUUGAAGACCAACAGUGGGACAGAGAAGAUCAAGGAAAAAAAAACUCCUCCCUAUCCAAGAAAUUGAAGAAGCAGCUUUACUGCAUGACACCAUAAGGGCAGCCAAAUGCUCCAGAACACCAGCGUUUCCAGGAAGAUAGUCCCUGCCUGAUGUUAUAGAGAUGGAAGAGCGGAACACUGAAAGAACUCCAAACCUGUGACUUCAUGAGUGAAGGAACGAGAAUCAUGGAGCUGAGGGAUCCUUUCAUGUUCUCCUUUCAGUUGAAAAGUGACUGAAACAUUUUUAGUGCAGAAAUAAUGAAUGUGAGGAAUUUAAAAGUGUAUAUGUGUUUUGAGGAGCAAUAAAAAGAGUUUUGGCUGUUUGUUUCUU